AGAGUUUGAUCAUGGCUCAGAAUCAACGCUGGCGGCGCGCUUAACACAUGCAAGUCGAACGAGAAAGGGUCCUUCGGGACCCAAGUAAAGUGGCGCACGGGUGAGUAACACGUGGGUAAUUUGCCUUUUGGUGGGGAAUAACCCUGGGAAACCGGGGCUAAUACCGCAUAAGUCCGGAAGGAGAAAGUCGCAAGACGCCGAAAGAGAAGCCCGCGGCCGAUUAGUUAGUUGGUGGGGUAAAGGCUCACCAAGGCAAAGAUCGGUAGCCGGCCUGAGAGGGCACACGGCCACACUGGCACUGAGACACGGGCCAGACUCCUACGGGAGGCAGCAGUGGGGAAUCUUGCACAAUGGGGGAAACCCUGAUGCAGCGACGCCGCGUGAGCGAUGAAGCCCUUCGGGGUGUAAAGCUCUUUCAGUAGGGACGAUUAUGACGGUACCUGCAGAAGAAGCUGCGACUAACUACGUGCCAGCAGCCGCGGUAAUACGUAGGCAGCAAGCGUUGUUCGGAGUUACUGGGCGUAAAGAGAGCGUAGGCGGUUCGCUAAGUUUGGUGUGAAAUCUCCCGGCUUAACUGGGAGGGUGCGCCGAAAACUGGCGGACUUGAGUGUGGGAGAGGAAAGCGGAAUUCCUGGUGUAGCGGUGAAAUGCGUAGAUAUCAGGAGGAACACCCGUGGUGAAGACGGCUUUCUGGACCAUUACUGACGCUGAGGCUCGAAAGCGUGGGGAGCAAACAGGAUUAGAUACCCUAGUAGUCC
rnacentral:rRNA from 1 species